rnacentral:rRNA from 1 species
UUUCGCCCGCCGGCGACCGGCGCACGGGUGAGUAACACGUAUGCAACCUGGCCGCCACAGGGGGAUAACCCGCGGAAACGCGGCCUAAUACCCCGUGACGCCACCGGAGGGCAUCCUCCGGUGGCCAAAGGAGCGAUCCGGUGGCGGAUGGGCAUGCGGCGCAUUAGCUAGACGGCGGGGUGACGGCCCACCGUGGCGACGAUGCGUAGGGGUUCUGAGAGGAAGGCCCCCCACACUGGGACUGAGACACGGCCCAGACCCCUACGGAAGGCAGCAG